GGAGGAUGAUAUAGAUUGGGAAGAAGGUUGAGUGUCAAAUGAAUUAACCUGUCGUGUGCAGUGCUUGGGAACAAUAUUUAUAAAUUCAAUACGAAAGGUAACCAGUAUUAACAUUUUCUCUAAAUAUGUUUUCCUUUUGUAGACAUUCAUUUUUACAAGUUUUAAGACAACGUCCAUGAGUAGCAGUGACUAAUGUUUGUAAUGUCUUGUGUGUUGAGAUCACCUCUGCCAUGUAUAGACAACUCGAUACAUAACUUGGUUUUCAAAUAUUUGUUCUAUACCCGUUGUCAUGUUGAUGGGUCUUUUUCAUUUAUUGGAUUUCAAUUGAAAUUUUAAUUAGAGUUUGAAUUUGUAAUCUC
rnacentral:misc_RNA from 1 species